GUGGCGAAGAAGGGCACUUCCCAGCUGCAUCUCCCCCCGUGGAAGUGGGGUAGCAAACACACCUGCAGGUGGCUGAAGUCUUUUAGCAGUCACUUUCUGUGCCUCCCCAGGCAGCAGGACGGGAUGUUUCCCCAGGCAGGGGGCACCUGCCUGCCUGCAUUUGUGCUCGUGACACUCAUCGGGGUGCGGGUGAUGUUCAGAGGACUGUGAGCAGGAGCUUCCGCAGCCCGUUUCGGCACCUCACCCACCACUUAGCUGCUGCCUGUAGGUAAUUGCGUCAGCUGCCACUUGUAGAGGAUCCUUUGAGAUUCCUGGGCCUCUGGAAAUCUUGGCUGAUGAAAGGAAGGGCUCAGAGUCAUAGCGUUAAUUUAUUAUUCAUUACCAGUGAAGUGCCGGCAGUGCAGCGGGCUGUACAGGCAGCCGUCUCACAGCCAAAUAGUUAAUGAUCUUAAGUGACAACGUGCCACUUUCCAGAGACCAGAGAGAGCGGCUCUCUGGAGGGAGACUAUUUAUUUCCAGAAGAUGUGUGCGCAACCACUCAGCACCAAGCCCCUUCCUGGGGCUGGGAUGUCCUUCCUGGGGGUGGGAUGUCUGGGUGUGGGGAGGCAUUUCGGGACCAAGGGCAAUGCUGAGGACCGUGACAAAGUGUGGUGGCAGUGCUGGGGGGAGCAGCAGAGAGGAGGAGGAGGAAGAAGAUGAAGAUGAAGAGGGCCCCCGAGAAGCUAUGCUUUCUCAGUGCCAAGUGGAGCUCCCAGCUGCUCUCUGGAUCCCAGUGGUCUUCAGAGAACAUCUUCCAGGGGCCAUGCCCACUAACCCGGAAAACCUAGGCAAUUGAGGGGAAACUGUGAGCAGAAAUUAAUGGGGACAAAUCCUCCACCCUGACACUGAGCUCCAGCAUGCAGCACUUCUGAGGAGGUGGCAGGGGGCAGAGCAGUACCCCAGCAUCAUCCCUGACCCUCCGCACCACGGGCAGCUCUGCAGGACGGCAAGCAAGACGAGACUCUUCCAUGAGCACUGUUGAAAAUGAUUUUUUUGUUGCUGCUCAAUAAAAUCCUGCCACAGCAACACAAUAUCCUCUCACCAUUACUAAUCUAACUCUCCCUCCAGGAAAUUCAAGGCAGGAAACAUUGUCUGCCUGCAGAGGUGUUUUAUGGUACAAUUCUUUGAGUGGUACCUCAGCCCUCUGUGCCAUUAUUUGAUGUUUGUGAAUUUAGGAAAUGCCAUUCAAUUACCCUAGAAACUGAUUAACACGUUGCAUUUAGUUAUUUGGUUCUGCUCUAUUUUAUAUCAACACUUCUCUUUUAGUGUAUUAUCCUACUUAUUUCUGACCAAAACACACCUCAGGCCAGUCUAGACCUCGCUCAUAACGCAGUUUUUCUGCAAGGCUUCAUCAGCAUAAACGGUUUCUUACUAUGUUCU
rnacentral:lncRNA from 1 species